CAGCCGCCACGGGAAUACGUAGGUGGCAAGCGUUGUCCGGAAUUAUUGGGCGUAAAGCGCGCGCAGGUGGUUUAAUAAGUCUGAUGUGAAAGCCCACGGCUCAACCGUGAAGGGUCAUUGGAAACUGUUAAACUUGAGUGCAGGAGAGAAAAGUGGAAUUCCUAGUGUAGCGGUGAAAUGCGUAGAGAUUAGGAGGAACACCAGUGGCGAAGGCGGCUUUUUGGCCUGUAACUGACACUGAGGCGCGAGAGCGUGGGGAGCAAACAGGAUUAGAUACCCCCGUAGUCCCUGUCUCUUAUAC
rnacentral:rRNA from 1 species